AUGGGGGAACAAAUAACAUCGGGUUUGCAAAAGCACAGGGAAAAAGGUAUGUUAGUUCUUGCUGAGGCUGCAGACAACGUGGGGGUACCUGAACUCGUCCUGUGUGUAACGUUGUACUGCUCAGCUUGGAAGUCAGGGGAGGAGAAGCAACGUGUAUCUGCAAAACAGAAGUGCUGUGCUGCAAAACAGGUGUUUAUUUCUCUCUUUCCCAUUCCCAGGGAUUUGCUCCAAGAGAACAAUUUCUGUCUGGUCAGAAGCAGGUACAAAAAUUAGUGGUGAAUGUGCAGGGUGAGCUGACUCAUCUUCAAAGCAAACCGCCUUAGAAAUGACAGCAGAAAGCGAAGGUGGAAGCUGCGUCCAGGCUCUGUGAUGCUACACUGGCAUGCGGCAGGAGCAGCAACCCGCUCUGCAGGCACACAGCAGAGCCCUGAGGCUGUGACAAGCGAGAGGGCUGCGCCAGUGGUGGCUCCAGGUCUGCACAUGGAAAGCACCCGCUCCUGUUACCUGCCCUUCUGCAGGGCUCAGCCCGCAAGUACGGAGCCAGCCACCUAGAGGUUCCUGAAAUUAACUCUCAAGAAGGUCUGACUUCUAAUUUUCUGUCGUAAACAGCCACAAGGCAUAGCUCGCACAUCAGCUGAGCAUAUAUUACUGAAAUAAUUGAUUUUUAAAUUAAAGCUCUGAAGAAGAGUGAGGAAAGUACCGGUUUUUCCAAACUGAAGCUCUAUGGGCAGCAGUUUGAAUCAAUACGCUAGGAAGUUUCUAUUUUUCUUCAUAAUGUUCAGACUGCUGUUUUGCCUGAUUCUGAAGCAGCAGAUGAUGCGCCCUCUUGUAGAUGCCAUGUAUAUUAUGAACCACGCUUCGUACUUUCCUCCCCUCUUUGAGGUACAUGGGGAGGAGCACAGACUUGAUACGCAGAGAUGUAACUGAUGCCACGAUCACCUUGUGAGACCUGCCUGUGUCCUGCUGAGCUCUGACUUUCUCACAGACUUUGUUAUUCUUCAUAUGGUUAUAUCAAAUGAGUUGACAUAACAAAAAGGGAUUUAAGGCCAAGAAAUGAAAUUGCUCAGUCUGCCGAACCCUUGCUUUAAUUCCUCCUCACCCACCCACUGCUUUUGUGCCUUAUUUUCUCAUUUUGACAAACGGGCUGAGGUUCUAGCUCAGUCUGGGGGCUGGGGUGGUGGAGCUGAGCACUCCUUUUAAAAAAAAUAAAACUCAGAAAAAUCUCA
rnacentral:lncRNA from 1 species